UACGUAGGGUGCAAGCGUUGUCCGGAAUUAUUGGGCGUAAAGAGCUCGUAGGCGGUCUGUCACGUCGGCUGUGAAAACCCGAGGCUCAACCUCGGGCCUGCAGUCGAUACGGGCAAACUAGAGUACUGCAGGGGAGACUGGAAUUCCUGGUGUAGCGGUGAAAUGCGCAGAUAUCAGGAGGAACACCCGUGGCGAAAGCGGCUCUCUGGGACGGUACUGACGCUGAAGACGGCGAAAGCGUGGGGAGCAAACAGG
rnacentral:rRNA from 1 species